UUAUUCUAGUUACAUCUGUACUACUCUUCCUUCUGCCCAUAUCCUUGACAGUUCUUAUAGCUGUCACACUCAUUUUCAUCUGUCAUUCCAGUAUGAGUUGUGCAUUUCGGUGCUGCUGUCAGUAUAGUGGAGCUCAUCUAGUGGAGGAAACAAGGGAGCACAGAGCGCUAAACGAUCCGAAGGAAGUCCUGGUGCUUAAAUAGAACAAGAUCAACAUCAAAGUGAAUUCACGCAACGCAAAAAAAACUUUGUAAAAAAAGUUGAUUAAAAUAACAGUGAAACAGAAAUUCUUUCAUCUGAUAAAUGAAUAUUGAGAAUGUAAUGUGAUUAAAGUAAACUAAACCGGGUUUUAUUGGUAUAAUUUUAGGUUUAUUUAAUUUAGAAAGAAACAGACCUUAAAAAAUCUUUCAUUUUCUAUUUAAUUUUCGAAACCUGGUUUGGUUAACUUUCAUUGUAAUAAGUUUCCCUCUCUCAUUUGUUAAGAUUGUGUAAAAGAAGAUAGUGAUACACACCAAGAAAUAUAUAGACCAGGAACAGCCAUAUCUCAUGCGUCAAAUCCGUGUACUGCAGUGGGAGGAGAUUAAA